UACGUAGGUGGCAAGCGUUGUUCGGAAUUAUUGGGCGUAAAGGGCGCGUAGGCGGCUUGUUAAGUCGGUUGUGAAAGCCCGGGGCUCAACCCCGGAGAGUCGACCGAUACUGGCGAGCUAGAGUACGGAAGAGGUAGCUGGAAUUCCCGGUGUAGCGGUGAAAUGCGUAGAUAUCGGGAGGAACAUCGAUGGCGAAGGCAAUCGCCUGGGCCUGAACUGACACUGAGACACGAAAGCGUGGGUAGCAAACAGG
rnacentral:rRNA from 1 species